CCUACGGGGUGCAGCAGUGGGGAAUAUUGGACAAUGGGCGAAAGCCUGAUCCAGCCAUGCCGCGUGUGUGAAGAAGGCCUUCGGGUUGUAAAGCACUUUCAGUGGGGAAGAAAGCCUUGGGGCUAAUACCCUCGAGGAAGGACAUCACCCACAGAAGAAGCACCGGCUAACUCCGUGCCAGCAGCCGCGGUAAUACGGAGGGUGCGAGCGUUAAUCGGAAUUACUGGGCGUAAAGCGCGCGUAGGCGGUCUGAUAAGCCGGUUGUGAAAGCCCCGGGCUCAACCUGGGAACGGCAUCCGGAACUGUCAGGCUAGAGUGCAGGAGAGGAAGGUAGAAUUCCCGGUGUAGCGGUGAAAUGCGUAGAGAUCGGGAGGAAUACCAGUGGCGAAGGCGGCCUUCUGGACUAACACUGACGCUGAGGUGCGAAAGCGUGGGUAGCAAACAGGAUUAGAUACCCCUGUAGUC
rnacentral:rRNA from 1 species